AUUGAACGCUGGCGGCAGGCCUAACACAUGCAAGUCGAGCGGAUGAAGGGAGCUUGCUCCUGGAUUCAGCGGCGGACGGGUGUGUAAUGCCUAGGAAUCUGCCUGGUAGUGGGGGAUAACGUCCGGAAACGGGCGCUAAUACCGCAUACGUCCUGAGGGAGAAAGUGGGGGUUCUUCGGACCUCACGCUAUCAGAUGAGCCUAGGUCGGAUUAGCUAGUUGGUGGGGUAAAGGCCUACCAAGGCGACGAUCCGUAACUGGUCUGAGAGGAUGAUCAGUCACACUGGAACUGAGACACGGUCCAGACUCCUACGGGAGGCAGCAGUGGGGAAUAUUGGACAAUGGGCGAAAGCCUGAUCCAGCCAUGCCGCGUGUGUGAAGAAGGUCUUCGGAUUGUAAAGCACGUUAAGUUGGGAGGAAGGGCAGUAAGUUAAUACCUUGCUGUUUGGACGUUACCAACAGAAUAAGCACCGGCUAACUUCGUG
rnacentral:rRNA from 1 species